GAUGAACGCUAGCGGGAGGCUUAACACAUGCAAGUCGAGGGGCAGCACGAUGUAGCAAUACGUUGGUGGCGACCGGCGCACGGGUGAGUAACACGUAUGCAACCUACCCUGUACAGGGGGAUAACCCGGAGAAAUUCGGACUAAUAUCCCAUAAUGAUAUUUGAGGGCAUCCUUGGAUAUUUAAAGCUCAGGCGGUACGGGAUGGGCAUGCGGAACAUUAGCUAGUUGGGAGGGUAACGGCCUACCAAGGCAACGAUGUUUAGGGGACCUGAGAGGGUGAUCCCCCACACUGGUACUGAGACACGGACCAGACUCCUACGGGAGGCAGCAGUGAGGAAUAUUGGUCAAUGGGCGCAAGCCUGAACCAGCCAUCCCGCGUGCAGGAAGACGGCCCUAUGGGUUGUAAACUGCUUUUCCAGGGGGAGAAUUUUCUGUCGUGACAGGAAUUGACGGUACCCUGGGAAUAAGCAUCGGCUAACUCCGUGCCAGCAGCCGCGUAAU
rnacentral:rRNA from 1 species